GGGCAGUUCACCAUGCCCCCUGCCAGGGUGCCUCCCACUGCCCCAGGAACCAGGGCCUGCCAAGGGAGUCCACACUCGAUGACAGACAGGAUAAAGGAGCUAGGCAACCGGGCCCAGGUGUCCUCCACUGCAGUUUUGGGUUCCAUCGGAGAAAAUGGCUCCAGCAUCCUUUCUGGAGCCCUUUACUCAGCUGGCUUUUAUGGAGGAGGGGGAGAACAGAGAACAAGUCAUGUACAAUGAGAAAAACAGCAGCUCUGCCGUGGCUGCGGUAACAAAGAACCACAAGCUUUGUGGCCUAAAACAACACAACGUUAUUCUCUUUUAGUUCUGGAAGUCAGAAGUCCAAAAGAAGUCUUACGGAGCUACCAUCAACAUGGCAGCAAGUACAGCGUAUACAGUCAAGCGCACGAAUCUUUCUCGAACAGCUCUGUAACACGUGAGGUUUUCCUGAAGUGCCUCUGAGAUGAAGAUUUGCAUUCUGCUGGUUUACAGGGGAGCGAUUAGAGAUCGACACUGAGGGCAGAGCUAAGUAAUGACUAGGUUAAUGCUCCCCUCCUCUAAGGGGAAAGCAUCCAGCAGAUCACCCUGAGAAUACAGCAAAACCCCUGAAGUAUACAAAAAUGGCAUCCAAGAACUCAACAUAUUCAUCAUAAAGGGAAACUGACGUCCUGAGAGAUUAUUGCCGAGGUCACACCAGCGGUUCGUAGUGCAGAGUUUUAGUCCACACACAGUUCACAUGAUGGCUAUAGGGUGGAAGAGAGGGGAACGCUAGGCAGAAACAGCAGCAAAAAGAAAAAAAUUAACAGCCUGAUAAUGCAGGAGGAGAGAGAACCAGUGAAGUAGAAGUUCCAGAAAGCAGCCUGGGAACAUCUAGUGUGAAAACCUCUUGAUAAUUCCUGAAGAACUUGCAACGCUCCACAGCUUAGGAUCAUAACGACUUCGAGUCAUGAAGCAAAGAUGAAAUUGUACGCAUUUUAUGAAAUGGUGAGAAAUGUGUUAUCCUUAUUAAAAUAGUUUCCAUCCAAUACCAUCCUUUGUAUGAGGUUUUGAG
rnacentral:lncRNA from 1 species